rnacentral:rRNA from 1 species
GAUGUUGGGUUAAGUCCCGCAACGAGCGCAACCCUUGUCCUGUGUUGCCAUCAUUCAGUUGGGAACUCGCAGGAGACCGCCAGCGAUAAGUUGGAGGAAGGUGGGGAUGACGUCAAGUCCUCAUGGCCUUUAUGUCCAGGGCUACACACGUGCUACAAUGGCCGGUACAAAGAGUCGCAAACCCGCGAGGGGGAGCCAAUCUCAAAAAGCCGGUCUCAGUUCGGAUUGGAGUCUGCAACUCGACUCCAUGAAGCUGGAAUCGCUAGUAAUCACUGAUCAGCAAGCAGUGGUGAAUACGUUCCCGGGCCUUGUACACACCGCCCGUCACAUCACGAAAGCCAGUUGUACUAGAAGCCGGUAAUUCAACCGCAAGGAGAUAGCCGUCCAAGGUAUGACUGGUGAUUGGGGUGAAGUCGUAACAAGGUGAAUA